rnacentral:rRNA from 1 species
UACGUAGGGUCCGAGCGUUGUCCGGAAUUAUUGGGCGUAAAGGGCUCGUAGGCGGUUUGUCACGUCGGGCGUGAAAACUCAGGGCUCAACCCUGAGCGUGCGUUCGAUACGGGCAGACUAGAGGUAUGCAGGGGAGAACGGAAUUCCUGGUGUAGCGGUGGAAUGCGCAGAUAUCAGGAGGAACACCGGUGGCGAAGGCGGUUCUCUGGGCAUUACCUGACGCUGAGGAGCGAAAGCGUGGGUAGCGAACAGG